rnacentral:rRNA from 1 species
UCAUAUGCUUGUCUCAAAGAUUAAGCCAUGCAUGUCUAAGUGCAAGCCGUCCCGUACGGUGAAACCGCGAAAGGCUCAUUAAAUCAGUUAUGGUUCCUUAGAUCGUACCCACGUUACUUGGAUAACUGUGGUAAUUCUAGAGCUAAUACAUGCCGAUAGAGUUCCGCCCAUCAGUCGAGUUGGUUCGCAAGUCUCUUGCGGCCUCUCGACGUUCGGAAGGAACG